GCAGGGCUGCCUCUGAGCUGCUGCUCUGGGCACACUGCCCGAUCUCCCAGUGCCUCUGCUGCUGCCCUGCACUGCGGCUGCAAUCAAACACCACCAGCUUGCCCUUGAAUUCUUUCCUGGGUGAAGCCAAGAACCCUCCCAGGCUAAGCCCUGAUUCUGGGGCUUGCCUGCCCUACAUCACCUUAACCCCAAACUGGGGCUCUAGGAAUUCCUGUUUCCAUCAGCAACAGUUAUUUUCCCCAGAGAUCCCAAAGCAGACCAAAAGAGGCAAAGCAGUGGGGAAAAAACAAGCCCACUCCAUUUGCAAUGCUCUUCUGCUCAUUUCCACCAGGUAAAAUCCAUAUCAAAAGCCCCCAGGGGAUGCUGGGGAGAUGUGGGCUGGGGAAGAGCAGUUCAGGCUUCCCCUCCAGUGGGUUGAUGCAGAUAGCAGGAGGCUGAUGAAACCUGCUGAGGACAGAUCAAAAGAUGCUAUCUCAUUAUGGGGCUUCCAGAUCAUGGCAGAUUACCCUUAUGUCUGCUUUAGCCCAUAUAUAUAUAUUUAGACAGAGUCUCACUCUGUCACCCAGGCUGGAGUGCAAUGGCAUGGUCUUGGCUCACUGCAACCUCCACCUCCUGGGUUCAAGUGAUUCUCAUAUUUUAACCUCCCGAGUAGCUGAGAUUACAAGCAUGCGCCCAUAUGUCCAGCUAAUUUUUAUGUAUAUAUUCGUUUAUUUAUUUAUUUUUUAAGACAGUCUCACUCUGUUGCCCAGGCUCGACUGCAGUGGCUUGAUCUCGGCUCACUGCAACCUCUGUCUCCUGAGGUUCAAACAAUUCUCCUGCCUCAGCCUCCCGAGUAGCUGGGAUUACAGGCGCCCACCAUUAUGCUCAGCUAAUUUUUUGUAUUUUUAGUAGAGACGGGGUUUCUCCAUGUUGGCCAGGCUUGUCUUGAACUCCUGACCUCAUGAUUCGCCCGCCUCAGCCUCCCAAAGUGCUGGGAUUACAGGCAUGAGCCACGGCGCCUGGCCAAUUUUUGUGUUUUUAGUAGAGAUGGGGUUUCACCGCGUUGGCCAGGCUGGUCUGAAACUCCUGGCCUCAAGUGAUCCACCCGCCUCAGCCUCCCAAAGUGUUGGGAUUACAGGCGUGAGCCGCAGCACCCAGCCUGCCUUAGCCCAUAUUUUACAUGAUUGCUAAGGGUCUGGGUGUCUGGAGACGGGGUGAUGCGCAGCCAGGUUAGAGACCUGCCUUUUUCAACCAAGCUCUGCUGUGCCCAAGUGCACAAGGCACCCCUCGGCCUGCAUUCCCUUGGAAGUCUUUGGCCGCAUAAAUGUUAUCACAAAUCUGGGUUCCUGACGGUGGUAGAUACCAGCCUGAACUAUGCACGAGGCCCGACAGCUCUCAGAAGAAGGCUGGUUUGAAUUUCUGAAGCCAAACCAAACACUGGCUCAAAAACAUUUUCUUAUUAUCUCAUUCCCUGACUACGGAAAAAUCACCCCAUUGAAAAACCACAAGCCCGCCCAAGUUUUAAAUUAAACCUCUUGAGUUUUCCCUGUGAGAGCAGAUAAAAUCCUUCCAGCUUAUGUUUUAAGGAAAGAAUUUGGGGUGUGUGUGUGCGUGUCUGUGUAUUUCCCCUAAACCCAUGUUCUUUUGUUGGGUUCCUGAGCACUCUGUUGAAAUAUUUCACUUGAGGACAUCAUUACAUUUCAUGGAUGUUGAAGUAUCCUUCCAGGAGCAGCUACUCCAUGGCUGCUUGGAUUUAGAAUGCAGCUCUUUUGGGAAGGAAGAGAUAAGUCCUCUUCCAAGAAGUAAGCUUCCCAGAGUGGCCUUGAAAGGCUUAGAUGAGAUUCUUACAAGAGGUAUUCAGUCCCCACCCACGUAUUUGUUCAUUAGAUGCCGACCGUAGGCUCUGAAAAUCCACCGUGUGAAAAAUCUCAAGCUGUAGGCUGGCAAGGAGAUUGAGAAGACAGAGAGGGUUUUGUUCCUCAGCUGGCGUCAGAAGAAGCCUAAGCUCUACUCUUGGCCCCACUCAGAGCAGCUGGGCUAAUGCUGGCCCAUGUCUUUGCCUCUCAGCAUCUCAGUUGCCUUAUCCCUAAAGGAGGAAUGCGCAUAGGGGCUCCUACUACAGAAUUCCCAAUAGCGAAAGCCUGAGAAGAUGCUACUACUAUACUGUUGUGCAGUCAUUCAACAAACAUUCGCUGAACACCUACUGUGUGCUGGAUUCUGUUUUAGGCACUUGGGAGACAGCAGGAAACUAGACAAGCAGCAUCCCUGCCUGCCUGGUGCUAACAUUCUGGAAGGUGGAAAAACUCGUCUUUCGAAAGCUAGGAAUCAUUUCUGAUUUUGUUUUGGAAGUGACGUUGGGCUUUUGAUGGUGCCUGAACUCCUACUUGCGGCCGGGCGUGGCGGCUCACGCCUGUAAUCCCAGCACUUUCGGAGGCCAGAGGCAAGACAGGCAGUGUCAACAAGCAGAGCUGCUGGGGCACGGCGAUAGGGACCGGAAGGGAGUGGAGUGAAGUGACCGUGACAGAGGGAGUGCCUGCCACAUCUAAAGACUAUGGAAAUGAUGUUAGACAAAAAGCAAAUUUGAGUGAUUUUCUUACUCGAGUUCAAAAUGGGUCAUAAAGCAGCAGAGACAACGCGCAACAUCAACAACACGUUUAGCCCUGGAACUGCUAACGAACAUACAGUACAGUGGUGUAAUUACAAUUACAUCUGAGAAGUAUGCUCAGCAGAUCGAUGAGACACAUUGAAAACUGCAGCGCCUGCAGCUGGCAUUGGCCAACAGAAAGGGCCCAAUUCUUCUCCACGACAACGCCUGACUGCACGUCACACAACCAGCGCUUCAAAAGUUGAACUAAUUGGGCUACGAAGUUUUGCCUCAUCUGCCAUAUUCACUUGACCUCUCCCCAACCGACUACCACUUCUUCAAGCAUCUCGACAACUUUUUGCAGGGAAAACGCUUCCACAACCAGCAGGAUGCAGAAAGCGCUUUCCAAGAGUUCAUCGAAUCCCAAAGCACAGAUUUUUACACUACAGGAAUAAAUGAACAUUUCUUCUUGGCAAAAAAUGACUUGAUUGUAAUCGUUCUUAUUUUGAUUAAUAAAGAUGUGUCUGAGCCUAGUUAUAAUGAUUUAAAAUUCAUGGUCCAAAACCGCAAUUACUUUUGCACUAGCCUGCAACCUGUACAACAAACCCCCAUGACACAAGUCUACCUACGUAACAAACCUGCGCAUGCGCCCCUGAACUUAAAAUAAAAGUUAAAAAAAAAAAAAAGACUAGAGAGGAGCCUAUAUUUCCACUGAAAGGAAGGAGAGGUUGGGGAAUAGGAAUAAUUCUGCACAGGAACAAGAAAGCGAAUGCAAGGAAAUUUUCAGACCAGUCUCUUUGCCCGAGUCUUUAAAAGUUUUUGUUAGGGGUCAUGAAGUUUGAAAUGUGUCUUAAGGAGGGAUGGAUUACUUGGAAUAAAUUGCCUCUAUGAGACAGUGUGAUAUGAUGUGAUAUGAGGGACUGUGGAGUCACGUGGGGUGGGGGUAGGAGGAGGAGGAGGAUUAAAAUCUACACACGGAGUACAGUGUACACAACUAGGGAGACGGGAGCACUAAAAGCUCAGACUUCACCACUGUACAAUUCAUCCAUGUAAUCAAAAUCCACGUGUACCCCAAAAGCUCCUGAAAUUAAAAAGCAAAUUCACAGGUGUCAACUUAGCGACAGAACCUGACAUUUUGUUGACAAGUUGACUGCAACGUACAGCAUCUCCUGGAGGAUCUGCUUUUACGGCGUAGCGAUGGCAGGGCUUCUGCUUCUGGAAGGUGGAGCAGGUGCAUUCACGCCCUUCUCUGUCUUCCUCCAACGACAUAAACUAAAAGCUGUAAGCAUGGCAGAUGCUUGAUCCGCCCCUCCUCCCAUGUGAGAUGCUGCCUCGAGAGCUGCACAAAGACCCCUCUGUGAAGCCCCUUAGCGAUCCCACAAGGAAAAUAGCACGACCAUCCUGUUCUACAGAUGGGGCAACUUGAGGCUCAGAGAGGCCAGGCGACUUGCCCAGUGUCACACACAGUCUGCCAUUGGUUGUAGAGUCAGGAUGUGAACCCAAGUUUGUCUCACUCAGAGCCCGCACUCUGAGCUGCCUGCCUCUGCUUCUCGGAUUCCAGCCUUGGUUUUGUGUGAGUCCCGGGCACACUGUAGGUGCUGAACUCAUUGCUGAAUGCACACAUCCAGCAGAUGUUUAGUGAGCACCUACUGUGUGCCAGGCAGUGUUCUAGGCACUGCGGA